UACGGGGGGGGCAAGCGUUGUUCGGAAUUACUGGGCGUAAAGGGCGCGUAGGCGGUGCUCUAAGUCGGAUGUGAAAACUCUGGGCUCAACCCAGAGCCUGCAUCCGAAACUGGAGUGCUAGAGUUCUGGAGGGGGUAGCGGAAUUCCUGGUGUAGCGGUGAAAUGCGUAGAUAUCAGGAGGAACACCGGUGGCGAAGGCGGCAUCCUGGACCGAUACUGACGCUGAGGAGCGAAAGCCAGGGGAGCAAACGGG
rnacentral:rRNA from 1 species